GAGUAAAUUUCAUUUAGGCUCGAUUCGAUAGCUUCUCAUUUUCCUUUUCAAAUUGUUUGUUUAAUGUUUUGCCUUAAACGUAGUUUGUGAUUUCUACGAGUGUUAUUUGAUCCUUCAAGUGCUUACUGAUCCCAUACACCGGUGUCGGGUACACGUUGCAUGGCUGCGAUUGCUAUCAAUCAAAAUGGAGGAUAUUUUAAUUGUGUUUCAUAUAUGCCAUCUUGGCUAAGUGGAGAGACAUUCGAGACCGUCAUAUGAAGUACCUAAAAAAAGUUGAACUGGAAAUGCAGCAAAAUCAAAUAAGAAAUACAUCUACAGUUGUGCUUCUUACAGAAGAAUUGUCUUGCAGAAUAGACAGCUUCUAGUAUGGAUAGUGAGCCUGAAAAAACUGCCAAAGAAAACUCGGAGAGUGAAGAUUACCACGGUAAUCCAAACGUUGCUACGACUGAUGCUGAAUGAUUCCGACGUGCACCAUCCUCUCAACCUUCCCAGGCCAGAAAACAACAAAAAUGUGUAGAUAUUGACAAGAUGGUUUUACAAAAACUGCAAGAGCCAGAUGACCGGCAUCUCAACUUCUUUAAAGGCAUUCUUCCCAGUCUUUAAAGCUUCAACGAAACCGAAACAAUAACUUUCCAAAAUGAAGUUUUGCAGAGUCUGCAAAAUAUCUACAGAUCUCAAUAAACUCCUGAGCACUCCUGCAGGUCCUUGCAUACUGUUCAGGUCCCACCAA